rnacentral:tRNA from 1 species
GCUGCUCUAGCUCAGUCGGUAGAGUACGUCCUUGGUAAGGACGGGGUCGCCAGUUCAAGUCUGGUGAGCAGCUCCA